rnacentral:lncRNA from 1 species
AGCAGGACUGGCUCCUAGACAGGAAGACGAAGGGCCUCCAGAACAUGGGUGGAAGCCUCGUAAUAAGAUGAGAGGAGGGUUCACAAGCACCCCUCUUCCCCAAAUCUGAAUCAACACCACCAUCUUAGUUCACCAUCUGCAGAAGAUGCUGGAUGCAGGCAACCUCAAGGAAGGCCAGGUGAAUGAAUCUGUGGAAGGAAGAAUUGGGCUAUUCCAGCUACUCCUAUCCCUGUUUGCCAGUGCUUGAAAACUGCUUUAAAAGAGAGCAACUCGAUUGCUGUGAUGGAAGAAAAUGAGACUGCGAAUAUCAAUGGAUGAAGG